rnacentral:rRNA from 1 species
AUUGAACGCUGGCGGCAGGCCUAACACAUGCAAGUCGGACGGUAGCACAGAGAGCUUGCUCUCGGGUGACGAGUGGCGGACGGGUGUGUAACGUCUGGGAAACUGCCCGAUGGAGGGGGAUAACUACUGGAAACGGUAGCUAAUACCGCAUAACGUCGCAAGACCAAAGUGGGGGACCUUCGGGCCUCACACCAUCGGAUGUGCCCAGAUGGGAUUAGCUAGUAGGUGGGGUAAUGGCUCACCUAGGCGACGAUCCCUAGCUGGUCUGAGAGGAUGACCAGCCACACUGGAACUGAGACACGGUCCAGACUCCUACGGGAGGCAGCAGUGGGGAAUAUUGCACAAUGGGCGCAAGCCUGAUGCAGCCAUGCCGCGUGUAUGAAGAAGGCCUUCGGGUUGUAAAGUACUUUCAGCGGGGAGGAAGGCGGUGAAGUUAAUAACUUCACCGAUUGACGUUACCCGCAGAAGAAGCACCGGCUAACUCCGUGCCAGCCGCCGCAGUAA